AGAAGUUUUAUCCUUGGCUCAGAGUGAACGCUGGCGGUAGGGCCUAACACAUGCAAAGUCGAACGGCAGCACAGUAAGAGCUUGCUCUUAUGUGUGGCGAGUGGCGGACGGGUGAGGAAUACAUCGGAAUCUACCUUUUCGUGGGGGAUAACGUAGGGAAACUUACGCUAAUACCGCAUACGACCUUCGGGUGAAAGCAGGGGACCUUCGGGCCUUGCGCGGAUAGAUGAGCCGAUGUCGGAUUAGCUAGUUGGCGGGGUAAAGGCCCACCAAGGCGACGAUCCGUAGCUGGUCUGAGAGGAUGAUCAGCCACACUGGAACUGAGACACGGUCCAGACUCCUACGGGAGGCAGCAGUGGGGAAUAUUGGACAAUGGGCGCAAGCCUGAUCCAGCCAUACCGCGUGGGUGAAGAAGGCCUUCGGGUUGUAAAGCCCUUUUGUUGGGAAAGAAAAGCAGUCGAUUAAUACUCGGUUGUUCUGACGGUACCCAAAGAAUAAGCACCGGCUAACUUCGUGCCAGCAGCCGCGGUAAUACGAAGGGUGCAAGCGUUACUCGGAAUUACUGGGCGUAAAGCGUGCGUAGGUGGUUGUUUAAGUCUGUUGUGAAAGCCCUGGGCUCAACCUGGGAAUUGCAGUGGAUACUGGGCGACUAGAGUGUGGUAGAGGGUAGUGGAAUUCCCGGUGUAGCAGUGAAAUGCGUAGAGAUCGGGAGGAACAUCCAUGGCGAAGGCAGCUACCUGACCAACACUGACACUUGAAAGGCCU
rnacentral:rRNA from 1 species